rnacentral:lncRNA from 1 species
AAAUCCUUAAUAUAUCCCUCAAUAUACACCCUACCUUAAUUCGCCUGAAAGCCAUGUCACCGCUCCUCCUCCCCGUGCUCGGACGCCAAUUAUGCCUUCCAAAUUGAGUAGUCUCGAUGAUACCAAAAACAGGAAGGAUGCAGGUUUAUUUGUUUUAAUUCCAUUUUAUAUCUCUUUCAAUUUUUGUUUGAUACAUUGGUUUCUUCAUUUUCGUUUUUUUGGUUGAGAGAUGACUCAAACCAGAUCUACUGUGCUUAGAUGUGUUGAACAAUUAGUAUUAGAACAUUUUUUCUGCGGGUUAAUCUGAAUUUUUAUUUUGCCUGAUUCUUAUUUUGUUUAUUUUGUUAUAACUCUC